rnacentral:rRNA from 1 species
AUUGAACGCUGGCGGCAUGCCUUACACAUGCAAGUCGAACGGUAACAGGUCUUCGGAUGCUGACGAGUGGCGAACGGGUGAGUAAUACAUCGGAACGUGCCCGAUCGUGGGGGAUAGCUCGGCGAAAGCCGGAUUAAUACCGCAUACGAUCUACGGAUGAAAGACAGGGACCGGCAAGGCCUUGCGCGAACGGAGCGGCC